GAGGCAGCAGUGGGGAAUAUUGCACAAUGGGGGAAACCCUGAUGCAGCGACGCCGCGUGAGUGAAGAAGUAUUUCGGUAUGUAAAGCUCUAUCAGCAGGGAAGAAAAUGACGGUACCUGACUAAGAAGCCCCGGCUAACUACGUGCCAGCAGCCGCGGUAA
rnacentral:rRNA from 1 species